UACAGAGGGUGCAAGCGUUAAUCGGAAUUACUGGGCGUAAAGCGUGCGUAGACGGUAGCGUAAGUCGGGUGUGGAAGCCCCGGGCUCAACCUGGGAAUUGCAUUCGAGACUGCUCUGCUAGGGUGCGGAAGAGGGAAGCGGAAUUUCCGGUGUAGCGGUGAAAUGCGUAGAUAUCGGAAGGAACACCAGUGGCGAAAGCGGCUUCCUGGUCCAGCACCGACGUUCAGGCACGAAAGCGUGGGGAGCAAACAGG
rnacentral:rRNA from 1 species